UCUCUUUAAAAAUGAGAAACCGUUCCUUGAUUGUUUUGGUCAGAGCAGAACAUUGCUUCUUAAGUCAGAACCGCGCGGUUGCAAUAAAGAGCAAAAAGAUAAAUAUUUGCUUUAAAGCUGCAAGCAAACUUCACCACACCUCCCGAUGGCAUGUAAGAGAGAUGGCUUGAUUUUUCUGAAAUGGUUCACCCAUCCACAGCUGGAAUUCCAAAGAGAAAUGAAAAUGCCUUUAAAAUCAACACUACACGGGAGCCUGAGAGAACAAGUUUUCCUUUGUUGUAGGGUAUAGUAUUAUUUGCUGUAGGUUUUUGAUAUACAUUCUAAAUUAGGCCUGCAAAGGCAUGCUUCAUCUUUAAUUCAUCACUCUCAGCUGAAAGAGAUUAGCAAUGUCUAGCACGCACCCCUCGUAUGGUGCUGACCUCAUCAAGUAUGGCCUGAAAUUAAUUAGCCUCAUUCAUUCCAAAUGGAAAAGGAUAAUGGAGCAGCAUUUUAGAGAUGACCAUCACAAAUUGUAUGCAGCAUAUUUAAAAGGCCUCUAUUUUCAAACCAUGUAGAUUAAAAUUCUUUCUAGGGUUUGCAAUAUGUCAGAGUUAUAAAGGCACCUAGAGCAGAAAUUAGUCACUGUUUAUUCCUCUACUAAAGAAUUAAAAGUUAUAUGUAAGUCUGCAUAUGUAUUUAAAUGUCUGAAAACAGGUUUCCUUAAUGAAAGAACACUUGAAAAUGCUAUAUUAUACUUGAUCAUCAAAAGAUUGAAGUUUAAUAAUGAAUUAAAUGAUCUAAUGAAA